AUUGAACGCUGGCGGCAUGCCUUACACAUGCAAGUCGAACGGUAACAGGUCUUCGGAUGCUGACGAGUGGCGAACGGGUGAGUAAUACAUCGGAACGUGCCUAGUAGUGGGGGAUAACUACUCGAAAGAGUGGCUAAUACCGCAUGAGAUCUACGGAUGAAAGCAGGGGAUCGUAGGACCUUGUGCUACUAGAGCGGCCGAUGGCAGAUUAGGUAGUUGGUGGGAUAAAAGCUUACCAAGCCGACGAUCUGUAGCUGGUCUGAGAGGACGAUCAGCCACACUGGGACUGAGACACGGCCCAGACUCCUACGGGAGGCAGCAGUGGGGAAUUUUGGACAAUGGGCGCAAGCCUGAUCCAGCAAUGCCGCGUGCAGGAUGAAGGCCUUCGGGUUGUAAACUGCUUUUGUACGGAACGAAAAGCCCUGGGUUAAUACCCUGGGGUCAUGACGGUACCGUAAGAAUAAGCACCGGCUAACUACGUGCCAGCCGCCGCAGUAACAC
rnacentral:rRNA from 1 species